AACGAUGUUGCUAGCACCCAGAAGCUUGCCUGCUCUUCUGGAUAGCUCCAUUCUUCUGCUAACGUAACUGGUGGCCUGAUUUCUGUGACCAUAGAUUAGUUUGCUUAUUUUCUAACUAUGUAAAUAUGGAAUUAAGCGGCUUAUAUCCUUUUGUGUCUGAUUUACUUAAUGCUAUGAGUUGUUGCAUGCCACUGAGUUUUCAAUGCUGUAUGUAGUAUUGUGUGAGUGUCCUACAAUUUAUCCAUUCUACUCUUCAUUAAGCCCAUGGCUUUCCAUUUGGGAUUUACCUAUAGUGCUCUAAUGGAUUUUUAUAAAUGUCUUGGGGAACAUAUGUAUUCAUUUCUGUUGAGUGUAUACCCAAGGAUGGAAUUUGGGGUCCUGUCGUGUGUCUGAUGCAUUUCAGUAGCUGCUGCCCCACAGUCUCCCAAAAUGGUUACAUCAGUUUGCACUUGCACGCAGCAUGUGAAAAUUCCACGGACUCCCCACAUUACCAACAGUAAUCAUUGGUCUUUUUCAUUUUAACUGUUCUGGUAUUUUUCCUAAGUUUUAAGCCCUUAGUCGUUCUGACACAGCAGCCAGAGUGACUUUAAAUUUUAAUUUAAUUUACUGUUCUGUAGAUAAUUCUUAAGCAUGAUACCUAAUUCAAAAGAUACAAAAAGAUACACAGUAAAACCCGUUCCUCCCACUCCUCCCUCCUAGCCAUACCACCUAGUUCCCUCUCGAGAUGCUGUCUGGUAUUUUUUCCAGAAAUACUCAUUUAUGCAUCAACGUAUAUUUUCCCUUUCCCCCAGAAAUGAUAGCAUGAUGUACAUAUACUGUUGAACACCUUUCUUUUUUCACUUGAUAAAUCUUAGAGAGUAUCCUAUAAGAGUGCAUCGAUUUUUUUUUAAAACAGCUACUAGCAUGUAACCUGAAAAUGCCUCUGUAACUUCACAUUGUACUUAGCAUGAAAUCCCACGUGCUUCACAGGCUUUCCAGCUCUGCAGGACCAGGUGCCCACCUACUCCAGCUUUCCCCACCCCUCCAUGCCCUCUCCCUUAGCAAGCUCUAGUCACCCUAUCGAUCACGUCCUUUAUUCACUGGGCACUCCCACCUCCGGGCCCUUGCAUAUGCCUUCUUAACCUAGAAGGUGCUUCUACAUCGGCCUGUCACUGUUCCCAGAAGUUUCUAACUGUCCCUCAGCCCUAUAUGUAAUUUAAGGGUCCCUCAGUUAUGCUUUCAUUAUCCCUGCAUUUUUUUCUUUAUGAUCCUUGAGAUGCUAGACAUGUAGUUAUGUGAUUACUUGAUUAAUGAUAUUCAACUAGAUUAUUAAUUCCACGGGGGUAGGGACUUUGUCUCGUUUAACCACUCGUGGCGUUUAUGUGUUAGGUGUUUAAUGAAUAGUUGUUGAGUGAAUGAUUUAUGUGAGGUAAAUUUGCAAACAUACAAAGGGCUUAAUGGCAAGUAACAAAGUAGGACUGGGGCAGAAGGGAAAUAGGUGCUUGUGUACAAAUUUGCUGUAGCAGUCUGAUGGUGAGAGUAAGGCAGACGUGUUGAUAAAGCAGUACAGGCCAUUCUGUCUUCCAAGAUGUAGUUCCUAUGCUUCCCACCAUGUUGCUUGGGUAUGAGCCACCGACAGCCUCCUCUGGCAGCCUGGGCGGCUACUGCUGGUGAAGAGAACCCCAGGUCUUAGGUGUUCUGGGAACAGGCAAAUCCC
rnacentral:lncRNA from 1 species